rnacentral:RNase_P_RNA from 1 species
UCAGUCGGCCGGACGGCCGCUCCCGCUACGGUCGAAAGGCUGCGGGGGAGGAAAGUCCGGGCUCCAUCGACAUACGGUGCCGGAUAACAUCCGGCGGGGGCAACCCCAGGGAUAGUGCCACAGAGAACGAACCGCUUCCCCCACCCUACCCUCCCCCGCAUGCGGGGGGAGGGACAAAGGGAGGGGGCGAGUAAGGGUGAAAAGGUGCGGUAAGAGCGCACCGCGUAUCCGGCAACGGAAACGGCAUGGCAAACCACACCGGGAGCAAAACCGAAUAGGGACGGCAACGCGGGCUGUUCGCGAAAGCGAUAACGCCGCAGGGCAAUGUCCGGCUCGCCGUCCGGGUAGGUUGCUCGAGGCCAUGUGCGAACAUGGCCCCAGAGGAAUGGCCGUCACGUAUCGUCUCGCGCCAAGUGAGGCGGUGCCCUACAGAACCCGGCUUACAGGCUGGCUGAUAUA